rnacentral:lncRNA from 1 species
UGGUUUUAAGUAACAGUUGCCAAUGUCUUUCCAUUUCAGAGACGCCAACCACAGCCUGCUUCUGUGCUCUCAGGCAUUGGAAGUACAGCAAAACAUUAUCAGACCUGCACAGAACUGAAGAGAUGCUAAUCUUACUCCUGUAUCUCCCUACUCUUUGGCUGGGAAAACAUCCAGCAUAUUGUUACCUUUUGGCCUUUAACGGACAGUAUUUAAAAGGAUUAUUCCCAUAGCUGUGUCAAUUGGACUGGAGUGAAAAGGAGGAAAGCUGGAGUCUUCUCAAAUCCCCGGGAAGAAAUUGAAAAAUUAAUAACCACUGAUCUAAAAUAAUGAACAGAGCAUAUCCAUCUGGCACAGGCGAAAAGCACUUACACCAUAACAAAUGAGCAAAGUCAAAGCAGUUCAAUGAAGAAAUGAACUCUCAGGUAUGCAAAGGAAGGAGAGGUCAGGAGUCUCGAGGGGUUUUGCAGAAAGUGGGUCCUGGAAGGGCCAACAACGGAGAAACCAACCCGACACCUACAGAACUGGACAGGACAUGGAAUGUGAAGCUGACUGACAGGAACCAAAGGAGGAGCCAGGGGGCAGGCCUAACUCAGGGGCAUCUGGAAACCACUGAAUGGCAACCACAGG